rnacentral:guide_RNA from 1 species
AAAAAUACCAAUAAGAGACGAGAUCAUAGUGAUGUAGUAAU